AUUGAACGCUGGCGGCAGGCCUAACACAUGCAAGUCGAACGGUAACAGGAAGAAGCUUGCUUCUUUGCUGACGAGUGGCGGACGGGUGAGUAAUGUCUGGGAAACUGCCUGAUGGAGGGGGAUAACUACUGGAAACGGUAGCUAAUACCGCAUAACGUCUCAAGACUAAAGAGGGGGACCUUCGGGCCUCUUGCCAUCGGAUGUUCCCCGAUGGGAUUAGCUAGUAGGUGGGGUAACGGCUCACCUAGUCGACGAUCCCUAGCUGGUCUGAGAGGAUGACCAGCCACACUGGAACUGAGACACGGUCCAGACUCCUACGGGAGGCAGCAGUGGGGAAUAUUGCACAAUGGGCGCAAGCCUGAUGCAGCCAUGCCGCGUGUAUGAAGAAGGCCUUCGGGUUGUAAAGUACUUUCAGCGGGGAGGAAGGGAGUAAAGUUAAUACCUUUGCUCAUUGACGUUACCCGCAGAAGAAGCACCGGCUAACUCCGUG
rnacentral:rRNA from 1 species